GGGAAAGUAUGGUUGCAAAGCUGAAACUUAAAGGAAUUGACAGAAGGGCACCACCAGGAGUGGAGCCUGGGGCUUAAUUUGACUCAACACGGGAAAACUUACCCGGCCCAGACACUGGGAGAAUUAACAGAUUGAAAACUCUUUCUUGAUUUGGUGGAUGGUGGUGCAUGGCCGUUCUUAGUUGGUGGAGCGAUUUGUCUGGGUAAUUCCGAUAACGAACGAGACUCAAGCCUAUUAAAUAGGUGCGUGGUUCUCUGCACCUUGCACCCUUCUUAGAGGGACAAGCAACUCCUAGCAGCACGAAACAGCAAUAACAGGUCUGUGAUGCCCUUAGAUAUCCGGGGCCGUACGUGCACUACACUGAAGGAAGCAGCGUGUUUUUAUCCCUGUCUGUAAAGACUGGGCAACCCGUGGAACGUCCUUCGUGAUUGGGAUAGGGGCUUGCAAUUGUUUCCCUUUAACGAGAAAUUUCCAGUAAGCGCGAGUCAUAAGCUCGCGUUGAUUACGUUCCUGUCCUUUGUACACACUGCCCAUCGCUACUACCAAUUGAAUGAUUUAGUGAGGUCUUCAGACCGAUACCUGGAGCGUCUUUUCGGUUGCGCCGGUGUGUUGGAAAGAUGACCAAACUCGAUCAUUUAGAGGAAGUAAAAGCCGUAACAAGGUUUCUGUAGGUGAACCUGGGAAG
rnacentral:rRNA from 1 species